rnacentral:rRNA from 1 species
UUAGAGUUUGAUCCUGGCUCAGGACGAACGCUGGCGGCGUGCCUAAUACAUGCAAGUCGAGCGGACAGAAGGGAGCUUGCUCCCGGAUGUUAGCGGCGGACGGGUGAGUAACACGUGGGCAACCUGCCUGUAAGACUGGGAUAACUCCGGGAAACCGGAGCUAAUACCGGAUAGUUCCUUGAACCGCAUGGUUCAAGGAUGAAAGACGGUUUCGGCUGUCACUUACAGAUGGACCCGCGGCGCAUUAGCUAGUUGGUGGGGUAAUGGCUCACCAAGGCGACGAUGCGUAGCCGACCUGAGAGGGUGAUCGGCCACACUGGGACUGAGACACGGCCCAGACUCCUACGGGAGGCAGCAGUAGGGAAUCUUCCGCAAUGGACGAAAGUCUGACGGAGCAACGCCGCGUGAGUGAUGAAGGUUUUCGGAUCGUAAAGCUCUGUUGUUAGGGAAGAACAAGUGCGAGAGUAACUGCUCGCACCUUGACGGUACCUAACCAGAAAGCCACGGCUAACUACGUGCCAGCAGCCGCGGUAAUACGUAGGUGGCAAGCGUUGUCCGGAAUUAUUGGGCGUAAAGGGCUCGCAGGCGGUUUCUUAAGUCUGAUGUGAAAGCCCCCGGCUCAACCGGGGAGGGUCAUUGGAAACUGGGAAACUUGAGUGCAGAAGAGGAGAGUGGAAUUCCACGUGUAGCGGUGAAAUGCGUAGAGAUGUGGAGGAACACCAGUGGCGAAGGCGACUCUCUGGUCUGUAACUGACGCUGAGGAGCGAAAGCGUGGGGAGCGAACAGGAUUAGAUACCCUGGUAGUCCACGCCGUAAACGAUGAGUGCUAAGUGUUAGGGGGUUUCCGCCCCUUAGUGCUGCAGCUAACGCAUUAAGCACUCCGCCUGGGGAGUACGGUCGCAAGACUGAAACUCAAAGGAAUUGACGGGGGCCCGCACAAGCGGUGGAGCAUGUGGUUUAAUUCGAAGCAACGUGAAGAACCUUACCAGGUCUUGACAUCCUCUGACAACCCUAGAGAUAGGGCUUUCCCUUCGGGGGCAGAGUGACAGGUGGUGCAUGGUUGUCGUCAGCUCGUGUCGUGAGAUGUUGGGUUAAGUCCCGCAACGAGCGCAACCCUUGAUCUUAGUUGCCAGCAUUCAGUUGGGCACUCUAAGGUGACUGCCGGUGACAAACCGGAGGAAGGUGGGGAUGACGUCAAAUCAUCAUGCCCCUUAUGACCUGGGCUACACACGUGCUACAAUGGACAGAACAAAGGGCUGCGAGACCGCAAGGUUUAGCCAAUCCCAUAAAUCUGUUCUCAGUUCGGAUCGCAGUCUGCAACUCGACUGCGUGAAGCUGGAAUCGCUAGUAAUCGCGGAUCAGCAUGCCGCGGUGAAUACGUUCCCGGGCCUUGUACACACCGCCCGUCACACCACGAGAGUUUGCAACACCCGAAGUCGGUGAGGUAACCUUUAUGGAGCCAGCCGCCGAAGGUGGGGCAGAUGAUUGGGGUGAAGUCGUAACAAGGUAGCCGUA